UGGAGAACUACGAGAAUGUGGCCUUUCUGGGCAAGAAUAUAAGAGAGACUACGGUGGAGAUAGACAACGGCCUUGCAUCUAAAGAAAGGCUGACUAUUUCCUCAAGAGAAUCCCAAGAACAUAUUUUGUUCCCAAAUGAGCUGGCUGAGACAGAGGAUGAUGAGAGGAAUGAAGUAGGCGAGGACGUUCAUCAACAAAUGCCAGAUAAAGUUAAAAAUGAAGACUUGAAAGAAAAUAUCAGGAAUCAAGGUGGACCAAUGAGAAAGAAAGUUGGUCAUAUGGUUGAGAAGAGAGAUGGAAGUCAGGGUAAUGUACAUACUCAAAAGCACAGGAUAAUGAAGGCAAGUAAAUCCAUUGGGUGUGAAAAGUACUUUAGAAAUGGAUCACAGCU